rnacentral:rRNA from 1 species
UACUCCUACGGGAGGCAGCAGUGGGGAAUAUUGGGCAAUGGGCGAAAGCCUGACCCAGCAACGCCGCGUGAAGGAAGAAGGCCUUCGGGUUGUAAACUUCUUUUACCAGGGACGAAGGACGUGACGGUACCUGGAGAAAAAGCAACGGCUAACUACGUGCCAGCAGCCGCGGUAAU